AGAAGAAGAUGAUUAUGAAGAAACAACUGCUCAACAUAACCAGUUUGGACCUCACGGCUCGAAAUCAUGAACUCGUGGACAUGAUAAUAUUUUACGGGUUGGUCAUCAUAAACUCCUAGUCGUUAAAAGAGACUUACGGCUGGAACGAUAAAUAUACCCGGCCGUAAACCUUGUUUCAGCUGGUUUUCCUGGUCGUACAUAUUAAAUGUUAUUUAAUGUUUUUUUGCGCCUGUUGGGAUACUCAGCCGUUUCGAAACUUACAAUUUCAUCAAAUCCACGGUUUUGAAUAUGCCCCCUCCCUCCCCCUAUUACUUAUUAUUUUUUGAUAUCUCUCAUGUCUAUUCAUAGAUGAACUCCAAAUCCAGCAUCAACAUUUCUGCAAAUCCUAGGGUGGGCCCGAUUUUUUUGUAAGUGAGCAAUAUGUAGUUUUCUGUUAUACAUGCUACAUGAGGAACAUAUUCAUCCUCUAUCCUAAAUAACAGAUUCAUUUUAAAUGAUGAUGAUGACCACAAGGAGGAGGAAAACUAUGAUGAGGAGGAGCAGGGGGCGGGGAUGAAGAGCAAGAUGGUGAGAUGAGUCUUACGUGGCUUUGUCUUCUGAAUUCAAGAAGCUUCAUAAACACAUGUUCACAACAGUACCACAACAUCCCAUUUUGAACUUCACUAAUAUACAUACGUGAAUGACUAAGGAUAUUCAUCUACUCUUAUGAAAUUCAUGAAACAAUUGUAUCAAUAAUAUGUGACACAACCUGUGCAAGCUAUUGUAGGUGUCUAAAAGGAAAAAUUUGUAUAGAAUAUCAUUCAUCUAUAUGUUUUUAACCCGCA